AUUUUCUUCAUUUAUCAAAUUCUUUCUCUCUCUUCUCUCUUCUCUCUUAUGCGCUCUCUCACUCUCUUCUCUCUUUUCACUUUGAUUCCGGCAGCCACCGCCGGCCACCGCCGCCGGAAAACCCCAAAUCAAACCCAAAUCAACUCACCCAAAAACCUCUUUCACGCAAAACCUUCUUCUUCCUCUCAGAUGGGCCGAAAAUCAUCAACCCUAACCCCCAAAUUUCAAUUCCUCAAAUUUUGAUCAUCUUGUAUGUUUGAAAUUGUCGAUGAAAUUGGGUAUUUGGAUGUCAAUAAACUCAGGAUCUCUACAGAGAAGGACAUUCUAUCAUGGGCUGUGAAGGUUCACAAAUUCGGGUUUGGUUUGGUAAGUUUUAUGAACUUUGAAUUUUUCACUUUUCCCCUUCUGAGUUAGGUUUGAUUUCAGUUUUUUGUGAAUAUUCUUGACAACAUGAAAUUUUUUGGUUUUUAACUCUUUUUAGUUCCUGUUUUUUGUGUUUAUUUUUUUUAUAUAUUGAUUUUGAAAAAGAGGUUUUUGAAAAGAUUGUUUAUGACAGGGAUGACAAAGAUUGUUACCAUUAUUGAAUUCUCUUUGAUGAAAGUAAUAUUCUUGAGAAUUAGCUUUGAAAAUGUUUUAACAGAUUAAAAGAACACAUAGAUUUCAAUUCAAAAAGAUUGGUUUUUCUGACUUUUUUCUAUAUUCAUUUUCAUCCAUUUUUAAAACUUAAAUUGUUCAUUAUUGGGGUUUAUUGUUCAUCAUGAUGAUUUUGUUGUUUCUUUAAAUGCAAAGAUUUUGUUGAUUUUGAAAGUUGGAUCCUUUACUGCUCGAAAAAGUCAGACAAACCGUGUAAGAGCUUAAUUAUUUUGCUAAUGAUAAUUAUUUUCAUGUUUCUUCAUCGAAUUGUAGUUUCAAAUCAUAUCAUUUAUGAAUUUUGCUUAUUUAUCUUUGUACUACAAAUCUAUUUAUGUAUCAAUUUGUUGUUAAGGAGGAAUCCAAUAUACUAAUGUAUACUAGAUGGAGAAUUACUUGAAUGAGAUUAUAACUCUUGCAUUGCUUCAAUAGAAAUAGAAGGUGAGAUAGAAGAAGAAGUGGUUUAUUACAUUUACAUUCAUGCUUUCAUAGCCUUUUUGUAUAAUUCUUUAAACAUUUUCUAAUAUAAUGAUGAUUAGAGUGAUAUAAACAAAUAUGUUAGUUUUGCAUCACCACACCAAACAACUUUUUUUAUAUUUCUUUCAAAACAUGCCUUAUUAGUGCAAAGAUAUGAUAAAUAUUAGUUUAUGUGUAUUUAGUGGUAUAGUUAUUAUAUGAUUUUCGGUUACUUGAAUAAUAACCAUUAGUUCUCUUCGCUUCUUAGGGGGCAAGGACACAAUAUCCUAUUUUUUAUUUGAUGGUUAUUAGAUUAAAGUGAUUUUUGUACCAUUACCCAGCAUAUCAUGUUUGGUCACUCAUUAUAAAUGUUUAAUCUUUUUUUAGGCAUUAAUCAAUUUAAUCUUAUAACCUAUAAAUUCAUUUAUCUCUUGAAGUAUUCAUGUUGAGUUUAUAUCAAGCCUUAAAGAAUGAAGUAUCAUGAAAUUUUUGGAAGCUGAAGAUAUAUGUUUCUUAAUUAUGAAAUUUUUGAAUUUUAAUGUUUGGACAGGAAGGUGAAGGUGAGAACAUGGAGGCAGAAGAAGAGGCCGUGAUUGGAUUCUGGAGUGCAUUUGGUUGGUUGGAUGGAAUGACUGUUUUCAUUGCUUUGUUGUCUGAAUAUGUGGUGGAUACAAUUGAGAGAUUCAAGAAACCUAUUUCGAGAGGAAGUACCAGUUUCCUGGAAUGGUUUUAAAAAGUGAUUGCGGUAAAGGUCGCGGUUGCGUUAUUACCUUUGCUAUUGCCGUCAUUGGAACCAAGAUCACCUUCUAUUAUUGUUUAAAUCUAAUACAGAACUCUGAACUCUGGAGGAAAGAAGAUGUAUAUGUAUCUUUAUGUUCAUGUGCCUGCAACAAUGAUCUCUUUGAGUUAGUUUGCGAUGACCGAACCUUCAGAGGUCGUUUACGUUUGAAACGUAGGGUACGAAAUAUCUGAGCAAACACAUCAUGAGGAUUUCAAUUUGCCUGAAGAAUCCUGCCAUGGUUUUCUUCCUGAACUGCUGCAUAUUUAGAAUGAUCAAAUGAAUCAUUGGCUUAUGUAGAGACAAAAAUAAUGUAUAGGAAAAAAAAAUCAGAGGUAGUAGAAGCAUACAAGAAAUAUGUAGCAGAUAUAAGUGAUUUGGGACUCAUCAUCAAAUCUAAAAGUAAGAAGACGUUGUUGCAUAAUGAAUCUCGGUUAGAUCUCUUAUUAGUAUUGUUAUUAUAUUAUACGCUGCAAUUGUUAUAUUAUUAGGCAGUUAAGGAAGUUGUGUUAUUUAGAUGGUUACUGAAUAAAUCGGAAAGGAGAGACCCAAUACUCUAAAAUGCACUUUCGUUUUUAUAGUGAAUGAGCAAACUAGCAUCACAUCAAGAUCUCAAUUCCAAAUAAGGUAUUGGAGUUGAGAGGAAACAUAAUGGUCUUAGAUUUUGAUUGGAUCUCCAAAGAAGACUUUGUCUUUUUAAUUUGGUUCUAUAUUGAAGUUAAAUGCUCAUUUUGAAAGAUUUUCAUUUACUUUCUUUACAACAGAUAUUUUUGAGGACACUGUACCAUUUGCAACAUGUAUGCAUUUUAAAACUCUCAUUUUUGUUUUCAAUUUCACUUAAGUUUUGUUAUGUGGCUACAAAAUUCGAUUUUGAGUGAAUUUAAUUUGUAAAGUUGUUCUUACUUGAAAGUUGAAAGUAGAUCAAAUUCCAAGUGUUGCAGCAUAAGCUGACAGGCGGCUAAGCAUGCACAUGCAUCAGUUGUGCAGUCACCACUAGAUGACGAUGCUUUAACACGAUGGCAGCGGGAUGUAGGCCAUGAUGAUGCAGGGCAGCAGGAUGCAGACCAUCAAAAAGACUCACCUAAUGUUGCUGACUCCAAGUAUUCAUAUGGUGUGAUCAGCUUGAAGCAGUUGAAAGAAGUUUUGUAAGUAAUGUGCAGAGAAAGCCAUUAAAUUUAUACUAUUUCAUUACCAUUGUUUAUUGUAUAGAAACAAGGUUUCAGACUAUUUUUUCUUAGAAAUAAGAUUUUUACGUAAUUGGCACAUAUAUGCUUAGAAUGAAAUAAAAUGAUACAUUAUGUUUGCAUCUUUGGAUACUAAGGCUUUGGUGUUGAUUUGUAUGCUACAAGUGGUCUUCUUAUGAGAUUUGUAUUUGGAGAUGACAGUGUAUUGCAAGCAUGGAAGAAUAUAAGUGUAUUUGAUGAUUUCGUUUGUAAUGUUAUAUGUACUUAAUGUUACAUGAAUUAGGAUGUAUUUUUGGUUCAUUUGUAGUGUUUGUAAUUUCACUCUAAAUUUCAUUCAAACUGAAAUAUAGGUUGUAUUUUGAGUAAUUUUUAACAAGUUAUGUAUAGUUAGUACUAUCUUGACACCAAUGCAGCUUACCCUUUAGUGGUUUAGAAAGAGUUAUAAAAUUAGUUGAAAUAGAAAAUGGAUUCUUAUGAUUUUUGUUGAUUGUUGUAUUGAUUGUCUGCAGGAUGCUUGCUAUGAAGCCUUAAGCAAUUUUCAAGUUGGAGAUAUGCAUUAGUUUUAUUGGAAUUUUGUCACUUUUGCCAAAGCACAGAUUGUGGUGGCUUUGCUGGUGUUGAGAAAAUGUGAGGAAUGGGAGAUGCUAUAGUUUUUUUUUUUUUUUUUGCAUCAUGCUGGUGUAUUGACCAGUUUCUUGAUUUGGUUUUUAAGUUUAUUUACUCUUUCGGAUGUAUCGAUUAUACAAUGUACUUCUCUAUCCUAUUAUCAAUGAUUAUAUGAAUGAUUUUUAAUGUCAUCAUCUUAACGUACUACUCAUGAGAAAUUUAAAUUAAGUGUACUCUUAGACAAAAAUUUAAUUUUAUAGAUGUCACGAGUCUUGAAAGCUUUACUAUAAAAUUUUGUGUGAUGCUUCACUUGAUUCGUUUUAUUAUGGCGGACACAAGGCUUCUUAUCAAGCCGAACAUCACUUCAUGUGGUUUUAAACUGUUUGAUCUUAAUCGAGCGGCUGCAUAUGACCGACUAUAUAAAUACGAGAAAGUUUUGACUGCACAAGAACGUGAUCCCCGAUAAAGGUGGGCAAUUAGAUUCUGCGGCAGAAAUCAGUAAUCAACAA